rnacentral:misc_RNA from 1 species
AGAAGAAGAAGAAGAAGAAAAAGAGGUUUUCCCUAAUGAUUUGCUGAUGCAGGUUUAAUGGGGCACUAGGUAUUUUGUUCCUCUUUGUUUUCCCAAUUCGGUGGACUUUGAUGCAGGUCUUGAAGAAUAAUUUUUUAUGCACUACAGUUUUUCCUCUGUUUCAACCUGUGUUUAAUUGUAUUUAAAAACGAAUUAUUGACUUUGGGAUGGAUAAAUUGAAAAAUUUUCUUGUUUAUUUAAUGGUGGAUUUGGGUUGAUCUAGAAUCUUGAUAAACCAAAGUUAUGACGUUUGGCGAUAAAAAUUUCCAUGAAACGAAGACGGAGACUUUGAAUUUUUAUGUGUUCUAUGGACCGAAUUUUUAGUUUGUGCCAGGCAAAGCUAGUGGAGACUUAUAUUUUGUGUUUAUCAAUUAGUGGAAGCUGAGAAUUCAGAUUCUGAUUUCUUGAAAGUUCAUUUCUUUGUAGACCUUUUCUCCACAUCCAUAGAACUUUGCUUGUUGCCAAGUUUGGAUUUUUUGUUCCUUGUUCUGUUCAUAUCUAUUCAUUGAACAAAGCAAUUUUCUAAUUUAUGGGGUCAAAUCUCUACUAUUGUGGUACAUAAAGAAGUUGUAGUUCACUACUAAUUUUUGCUUUUACUCUUUGGUCUUUGAUCUAUUGGAAGAACCUAAAGAUUCUUUAGAUUUGGCUUCACUGAGUUUUUUUAUUUCAUCACUGUUUAUUCAUUCAGCUUCUCUUUGAUAUCAGGAACUGGGAGUGAGAGGCAAGUGGAAGAAUCGCUGGGAAGAUCAGCUAUCCGAAUUGAAGAGAAGAAGCAUGAACAAGGAUGCAGAAGGGAACAUGUCAUGGGCAGCUCGCAUGCGCAGGCAACGGGAACGAAUGUCACAGGAAGUUUAAAUGGGUUCUUGUUUUGUUCUGUAUAUACACGUCUUUCAAUUUUCUACGUGGUUGGUA